rnacentral:rRNA from 1 species
GAUGAACGCUGGCGGCGUGCCUAAUACAUGCAAGUCGAGCGAAUGGAUUAAGAGCUUGCUCUUAUGAAGUUAGCGGCGGACGGGUGAGUAACACGUGGGUAACCUGCCCAUAAGACUGGGAUAACUCCGGGAAACCGGGGCUAAUACCGGAUAACAUUUUGAACCGCAUGGUUCGAAAUUGAAAGGCGGCUCCGGCUGUCACUUAUGGAUGGACCAGCGUCGCAUUAGCUAGUUGGUGAGGUAACGGCUCACCAAGGCAACGAUGCGUAGCCGACCUGAGAGGGUGAUCGGCCACACUGGGACUGAGACACGGCCCAGACUCCUAUGGGAGGCAGCAGUAGGGAAUCUUCCGCAAUGGACGAAAGUCUGACGGAGCAACGCCGCGUGAGUGAUGAAGGCUUUCGGGUCGUAAAACUCUGUUGUUAGGGAAGAACAAGUGCUAGUUGAAUAAGCUGGCACCUUGACGGUACCUAACCAGAAAGCCACGGCUAACUACGUGCCAGCCGCCGCAGUAA